AUUAUUUUAAGAUGAACAUUUCUGAUUAUUUAAAUGACCAGCCCUCGGGGGCCCUCUCAGUAUGCGGGGCCCCAGGUAUUUACUUGUCUUGCCUGCCCCAUAGGUACACCUCUGCACAUAUCAAAUGUAUGUGAUUUGACAAAAAAAUGUUUUUUAAUGGAAGGUUUGUGUAAAAAAAUUUUUUUAGAUCUGGCAACCCUUGUAACUACCAGAGACCCUGUGUUCCCCUGGAGCAGAGCUGGAAUGGUUUUAGGUAAAAAAGCGGGUUGUAGGGGGAGGGGCAGCGUGGGGUAGGAUGGUGUAGUGUGGGGUAUUGUGGCGUGGGGGCAGGGCUGUGGAUGUGUGGAUGGUGUCACUGAGAGGGUGAAUGAGCUGCAGAAGGAAGAGGACGGCGUGGAACUGAACAUUUUGCUAUGUUAGUGUGGAGACGCCUGGAAAUGAGAAGAUGUGGUAAAGAUGCACUGGUCGUCUGAGUGGGCAGAGCAACACUAUGACAUCACUUCCACCACGUCACCUCCUGCCCACCCUAAGCCUGUUUCAUAUCCGCAGCCCAGUCAUCCUGCUUUCACCGGAUAUUCUGACGAUAUCAGCGCCCUCAGCGCCUCCACCUUGCUGAAGCGCUAUGCUGAGAGGUAUUCCUUCACUCCGGUCUACCCGGAGCCCGGCGCAUUCCGAAGAAGUGAACCCGGCCAGGAUGCCUGGUCUAUGGGCUAUAACGCAGAUGGGAUCGAUGGAAUAAAAGGUUCUGUAGCGAGUGCAAGUAACCUUUCAGAGCAAUUCGGUAAUGGGGCCAUAUCUCAAGAUUAUACCUCCACCUACAGCGGGUCGCACUUGUACCCUCGACCCACUUACUUGCACCAGCCAGCUUUUGCCUUACCGCCAACCUACCAGACUCCUGCCCCAGUCUAUACCUAUCCCCCGGGUUUAACCAACCCUAGUUCUCCUUCCCUUCUACCACCUCUGAGCAGUGGCCUCCAACCCACCCACAGCACCCAGGUUCUGAAACGGUCCGAGCAGUUCCAGGAACAUAACAAGACUUUUGGAUUCGAUCUAAACAAAAGCACCAGAGUGUCACCUUAUACGGCAAGAGAUAACAGUGAGCAUCCCAUCAGCAAUGGCAUCCCAAAUAGCAGUGCAGAUCUUCAGAGCUUCAGGCCAGACAGGAUUCUCCCACAGCCAGUUAUGAAGGUAGACCUGGUAAGGAAGAGCAGUUAUUUACAGCCCUCAGAAACAGCGUCUUAUAAUGGUGCUGAGCAAUACACCUACCCCUAAUACACUUACCCUUGAUACACCUACCCCCGAUACACCUACCCCCGAUACACCUACCCCCGAUACACUUACCCCUGAUACACCUACCCUUUAUACACCUACCCCGAUACACCUACCCUUGAUACACCUACCCCUGAUACACCUACCCCUGAGAUGGCCCAAAAUAUGCAACGUAGUGGAGCGUUCGUAGAGCUUUGGUUUUAUCUGCAGAUCUUCACUCUCCAUUUGAACCUGAAUGAUGACAAAUGUUAGUUUUUAAAUUAGAUUUUAUUUUGAUGUUGGGAAUUUGUAAGGAAUUCAUGCUACAUAUUAUAUCACAUUUUAUGAUUCCCAGAUUACUACUACAAAUUGGUGUAUCAUAAUCACAAUCUUUUUCCAUAGCAGGAAUCUUCUUUUUUUUCUUUUUUUUUUUUUUUAAAAAAAAGGAAUUUUAGUCUUGUUUCAGCACAGUAACAUUUUCAGGAUUUAUUACUAGUGGAACCUGUUUCUAGAUCUAGGUCUGUCAUAAUAUCAAUAUAGUUUCUCACAAAUAUAUUGAUAUUCACAAACUGGCCCAAGCCCCAGACAGAAUCCCUAGUUGUCCCACUGUAAUGGUGACGUUGGUUUUAGGAGCCAUUUAAGUUCCUGUUUGGCGUACUGAACAUUGCUUCUAGGUCAUACACAAGCCAUGAUCUAUAGGCACAUUUUUGUCUCAGGAAUCUUUUCAGGAACUCAGGAAUUUUAAACGCAUUUCUACCACCACAAUGUAGAAAGGUUAAAAGGAACUUGUUUACUUUAGGAACAUUUCCACCGCAGGAACUUUUUUUAAAGAAUAUAGUUAUUAUUUAGGAAUAUGUGGUGCAUUAUCACCAGGGCAACCAGGGCCGAUUUGAGCCCUGGGCCGAGUCUUCCAUAGAAACAAUUGGCAUUGGCAUAGUGAACAUUACUGAUAGUUGCUCAACCUUCUUGUAUUUAGCUAGCAACUACAAAGACUUGAAGGGUGCAAACACGGCUAGUGAUUUUAACGUCACUUGAUGCAACAAAGACAGAACUAUUCAAGAAGAACUUCAGUCUCAGAAUCUCAGCUUCCUGCAUGUUUGCUGUGAUUUUGCCAGGCACUGAAGCGUUACACACCUACAUCUUGUUAUUCUCCCAUAUCAUGAACCCAAAACAAGAACCCAUCCAGGAGAUUUCUGAAUUUCAGAAGGUUCCUAAACCAUGGUGGAAACACAGCCUAUAUCCGUAGAGCCCUACAUUUCCUUUUCCUCAGACCGACUAUUGUUCUCUAACCCCCGCUCUGUAAGUAAUCAAUCAGUGCAGUGAAGCAUAAGCCACAGCAAGCACUAAUCCCCGAACCAAUCAAUAAAUUCUAGUCACACGUAAGGUGAAGACAGAAUGUUAAGGAGGGGAAGAAACCUGAUUAGACAUUUUAAAGAUGAAGUAAAUAGUCAGGUAUUUAUACUCAGGAAAAUACUCAGGAAAUUAACCCAUAAAAGUUUACAAGGCUUUCUUUUUUUUUUUUGUUUUAAAUAUGUGAUGUUUUAAUGGACACUACUUAUGUAUUCUAGACACAAACUCGCACAAAGAAUUAUGAGAAAUAUGCAGUUAGUGAAUCAGAAUGAGAGGAUACUCUGCAAAUCGUGAAUUAUCUCAGGAAUGACAGAAAAAAACAAACUAGAGGAAUGAAAAUGUCUUCUUUUUUUUGUUCAUUAAUGGUAAAAAAAAAACAAAAACGUUGUUCAUGCUCAGCUGUACAUCAUUAACACUUAGCUCAUUCAGCUAGUCUAAGAGCUAACAUAUCUGUCCUUCGAUUAUGUUUACAGUGAACACUUUACCAUUCAUUAAUUGGUCAUUUUUGGUAUUGAAUCAGAUGCACUGUUACUUAUAGAUCAUAACUGUUAUUAAUAUUGAAUUGUUCAGUGAAUUUGAUCGUGUUAAUCAUCUCACAAAAUGUUUUGUAUUACACAAAAUAGCAGAAAGAUACGAAACGUUUUCCUCUUUCUGCGGUUCCAUUUUUUAUUCCUCAGGAACACAAUGUCUUUGUGAUGUUUGAAGACACAUUAACUUACAUCUUUAUAUCAAUUUUUAUCAAAAAUUAGAUUUAAUUAGAUUUACAAACGGGUCAUAAAUGCUGUACGUGUGCUAAUUCUUAAGUUUGAAAUAAUACUUCUUAAGUUUGUGUGGUUGUAGUUUAAUAGUUGUAAAAAAAAAUAAAAAAAAACACUACCUCAUGUGCUUGUAUGUUAAUUUUUUUUAUUUGUAUUUUUUAAAUAUAAGGUGUCAUUACAAAUGGAUUUUUGUGUAUUUUUAAUUCUGAAAACGACUACUUCAGGCACCAUUCAUGCAAAAUAAAAUCUGUACUGAAAACAAUUCACGUGUAGCUUUUUAUUUUCCGGUUCACAGAAUUCUACACUAAUAAUUUAACCUUUAUAUAAAUAUAAGACAUUGUAUCUGAAUAUAUUAUAUUUGGGAAUGUGGCAGUGUUCAGAAUCAACUAGGGCUGCAACUAACUAUUAUUUUCAUAAUCGAUUAGUUGGCCAAUAAUUUUUUCGAUUAAUCGGAUUGGGGGCAAACUUCCAGUACCACUUUUUCAUUUAUUUAAAAUAAAAUGUGUGUUACAAAUAUAAACUUAAGACUAAAACUUUACACAAAUGUUGUAUAAGUCUGAAAAGACCAAUUAUAUAAGACUGAAAAGAACCCAGUAUACACACACACACACACACACACACACACACACACACACACCAGAAUAUAUAUUAUUAAUUUAGGACUGUAGUUUCAUUCAGUGCUUUUUUUUUUGCAUCUAUAAUUAAUUUGACUCUCUGAAUUAUCCUUUGUUUAUUUUAUCCAUCAAUGCGACACUUGAACUUCUCUAUCACUCAGGUUUUUGCAAAUUAUCAUUUCAUUUGUAAAUAAAUUUUAAAUAAAUCCAUCACUGAACAAUCGUCAGCUCAUGUGAUAUUUGUGAAUAACCAUGUUGAUUAAUUUUAAAACAUCUCAUUUGAAUGUUUUGAUACAUUUAACAACAAAAGAAAAUAUAUUAUUUAAACAUUUUUAAAACUUUCCUAUGGACCCCCUGCAAUUACACCACUGACCACUAGGGGUCCGCAAAAUCAUUGCACUAGAUGGUGGAGUACAUAGUGCAUAGUGUAAGUGUACAGUACCUCAUUUGGGACACAACUUUAGUAUUUACUCUCCAAAGCGUGUUUUCAGAACAGAAGUAACGUAAUGAGUUAAUGUACAGCGCGCAGAGCGACUAAUCCAUAAUCGAUUAUUAACGAUUUUAUCGAUUAGUUGUUGCAGCUUUAUAAUCAGUCAAUCACAUUCAAACUCAUAUUAAAUACUAAUUAGUGUACACCUGCCAUCAAUUAAAGUGACUGAUUAACUCCAAAUACAGUCCAGCUGUUCUUAUAGGAUUCUCCCGACAUCAUCUUAUUAACAUCCAACUGGAAAAGACCUGGCCCACAAAGAUCUUACAGAGCAGGUCCGGGAUCUCAUUGUUGGAAAAUAUCACUCAGGAGAGGGAUAUAAAAAUAUUUCCGAGGCAUCGGAUAUACCCUGGAACACUCUAAAGACAAUCAUCAACACGUGGAGAAAAUAUGACACGACGGUGACACUAAGAGCAGGACGUCCCUCUAAAACUGAUGAGAAGAUCAGGAGGAAGUGGUCAGGGAGGCUGCAGAGAGGCCUACAGAAACAUGAAGAGAUCUGCAGCGAUUACUGGCCAGUACUGGUUGCUCCCGACAUGUGAGAACAAUCUCCUGAAUUCUUCAUAUCUCUGGGUGAUGGGGUAGGGGGGCAAGACGAAAGCCUUUUUAACCAAAAAAAUAAAUAAUAAACACCUUCAAUCUACCAAAACCAUGUGGAAUACAAAUUAUUUACAGACCCUAAGGGCCAUAUUCUGAAUUACUUGGUGAAUCUUCAGAUUUUAUCUCAAAUCUGGUUGUUUCUUUAGACAAAGCUUUAAUUGUUGACAACUUUAAUAUUCAUUUUGAUAACCCAUUUUGAAGACCCUCUAAGAACAGUGUUUGUGUCUAGUCUAGAUUCAGUACGGGUCAAUCAGAACGUAAUAGGACCCACUCAUAAUGAUGGUCACACUCUUGACCUGAUACUAACAUAUGGAUUAUCUCAUCUCCUUUAAAUUGUGUUUUGAUCUGAAUAUUUACACCUCGUCACGCUACUGCGUCAAACGUACAUUCACGUCAGCUAUUGCACCGAGUUUCAUCAGUAACCUCCCAGAGAUAUCAGCUAUGACUGGGUUACCGUCUGAUCCCAUAGAAAUUGAUCAGGUGACUAAAUGCCAACGUUCCGCUACACGCUAGAUAAAGUAGCUCCAGGUUCGCUUAUUCACGCAAACUGUUCCAGUGACUUUUAGAUCCAAAGCUCCUGAGAUCUGUUUCAUCUGUUUAGCUCUUCAGAAAAUGAAGCUCCUGAGUGUCAGCAUGCAGUGUGACAGAUGUCCUAUUA
ensembl:lncRNA